rnacentral:lncRNA from 10 species
CACCUGUAAUCUCAGUUACUCUGGGCACCUGUAAUCUCAGUUACUCAGGAGGCUGAGGCAGGAGAAUCGCCUGAACCCAGGAGGUGGAGGUUGUGGUGCGCCGAGUUUGUGCCAUUGCACUCCAACCUGGGUAACAGGAGUGAAACUCUGUCUCAAAAAGAAAGAAAGGAGAAAGAGAGAGAGGAAGGAAGGAAGGAGGGAGGGAGAGAAGAAGAAGGAAGGAAGGAAGGAAGGAAGGAAGGAAGGAAGGAAGGAAGGAAGAUCCCAGUGCCAUCUGAUUUGGUUCUCCUUGUGAUUUUGUGAGAAAAAAGUGAUAUAAUGCCUCUGAGGACCAGCCCACACAGUGACUGGAGUAGGUGGUCAAACAAUGAGAAUCUUUAGUCUAAAGUCAACAAGCAAGUUCCAUAUUACUGGCAUAAACGAUUAACUUGGACAAGAAUCCAAGAUAGAAAAAUAAUUAUGAAUAAGUCUGCGCCCAGGUUUAUU